AAACGAGGGGCUUAACCUGUCUCCCUUUUUCCCAGUCAAUGAAAAUUGAUCUGCCCGUGCAGAAGCGGACAUACCUAUACAAGACGAGAAGACCCUUUGGAGCUUAAGAUAUAAGAUCACCCAGGUCAAGAGUAUAUCAAAACUAAACUAAGUGAUAUUUGAUCCUUAUCUUCGGUUGGGGCGACCACGGGAGAAAAUAAAGCUCCCACGUGGAAUGGGGAAUACUCCCUAAAACCAAGAGAGACAUCUCUAAGUCACAGAACAUCUGACCAAUAGAUCCGGCCAAUCAAGCCGAUCAACGGACCAAGUUACCCUAGGGAUAACAGCGCAAUCCCCUCCAAGAGUCCAUAUCGACAAGGGGGUUUACGACCUCGAUGUUGGAUCAGGACAUCCUAAUGGUGCAGCCGCUAUUAAGGGUUUCGUUUUUCAGAUUUUACUUCUAUGUGAUCUGA
rnacentral:rRNA from 1 species